AUUGAACGCUGGCGGCAUGCUUUACACAUGCAAGUCGAACGGUAACAGGGUGCUUGCGCUGCUGACGAGUGGCGGACGGGUGAGUAAUGCAUAGGAAUGUACCGUGUAUAGGGGGCUAGCUCGGCGACAGCCGGCUUAAUAUAGCAUACGCUCUGAGGGGGAAAGUGGGGGUCCGAAAGGCAUAACGUUAUAUGAGCAGCCGAUGUCUGAUUAGCUAGUUGGUGAGGUAAAGGCUCACCAAGGCGUCGAUCAGUAGCGGAUCUGAGAGGAUGAUCCGCCACACUGGAACUGAGACACGGCCCAGACUCCUACGGGAGGCAGCAGUGGGGAAUUUUGGACAAUGGGCGCAAGCCUGAUCCAGCCACGCCGCGUGUCUGAAGAAGGCCUUCGGAUCGUAAAGGACUGUUGUCCGGGAGCAAAUCCUAGUGGUUAAUCCCUACUGGUGCUGAGAGUACCUGAAGAAUAAGCACCGGCUAACUACGUG
rnacentral:rRNA from 1 species